GAUCAUGGCUCAGGAUGAACGCUGGCGGCGUGCCUAACACAUGCAAGUCGAGCGAUUCUCUUCGGAGAAGAGCGGCGGACGGGUGAGUAACGCGUGGGUAACCUGCCCUAUACACACGGAUAACAUACCGAAAGGUAUGCUAAUACGGGAUAACAUAAGAGAUUCGCAUGGAUUUCUUAUCAAAGCUCCGGCGGUAUAGGAUGGACCCGCGUCUGAUUAGCUAGUUGGUAAGGUAACGG
rnacentral:rRNA from 1 species